UACGGGGGGAGCAAGCGUUGUUCGGAUUUACUGGGCGUAAAGCGCACGUAGGCGGAUCGAUCAGUCAGGGGUGAAAUCCCAGGGCUUAACCCUGGAACUGCCUUUGAUACUGUCGAUCUGGAGUCCGGGAGAGGUGAGUGGAACUGCGAGUGUAGAGGUGAAAUUCGUAGAUAUUCGCAAGAACACCAGUGGCGAAGGCGGCUCACUGGCCCGGUACUGACGCUGAGGUGCGAAAGCGUGGGGGAGCAAACAGG
rnacentral:rRNA from 1 species